AAAAGGUUUUGGGGAAGAUGUUGUCCCUACUGGCAGAGGAUGAAGUGGUAAGAAGCUGAGAGAGGGUUGAGACAGAGGGAAGCAGACUCUCUUCCCCGCGGCGCCCUCAUGAUCAGCAUCACAUCUUUAAAGGUACCUUCAUCACCUCUUCCUUUCUUUCUUUUUUCCACUGCCUCCAUGUCAAUGCUGGACAGGAGCAUGAGUGAAGCAUGAGUUUCCUUCCAUUUUCAAAACAAACCUUUAACUUAGAAUGAAGGUGAAAGAAUGUAUUUUUUCCUAAAUCAACAGUGUAAACUGGCUGGACUGUUUUGUAAAAAUAUCACACCCUCUGGAUGUUUCAUGAGCUGAUUUGCAUGGUACCAGAUGAGUUUCUUUUUUCCUCUUUCAAUCAGCUCAAGUAAAUAUACAACAUGCAGCCAAAUUACAUCCUCUUACAGGAAGAGAGAUUUCAAAAUCUUUUCUUAUUGUUUACCUGAAUCUGUUUGUUCACAGUUUCUCAGACAGGCAAGAUAUCCUCAGAACAAAGUUACUAAAAGGAUUUUCAGGUGACACAGGCUGCAGCUGGAAGUUAGUUAUGUAACUUUGGUUUUGUGGCUCUUUCCAUUUUCACGGUGUACAGCAGAUACUAAUUAACAUGGAAAUUGAUUUGUGUGCUUGAGCAUUCCAGCUAGCUGCAACAAGCAUUUCACGCUCUGCGUUGGAAAAUGUUCUCAUUGCUUCUUUGGUAAUGCUGAGCCAUGGACAGAUGACAAUGACAGUUCACUUUUGUCACUCUGUGAAUGAAGGAGUAAAUAAGUGCCCCAUCCACAGAACCACGGAGCUCAUGUAAUCCACUCAAAAAGGGACCCUGGUCCAGCAACUUUGAUGCAACCUGACUUUCCUUGGACACUUCCAGUGACAGGAGACUCACUACUGUCGUCCAGCUGUUUGCCAUGGCUCUGCUAGGUCUGAGUUAAAGGGGGUCACUCACACGACUGUUUCCCCUUUUGGAGCUCCCAGUGAGAGGCCACAACCCCACGGCAACUGGAAAGAUGCCCAUCUAAUAGUCUACCCCCUCUAAGGUCAGAAUUCUCUCAUAAAGGUGCAGUGGCAUGCACCUGGAGUCCCAGCUACUCAGGAGGCUGAGGUGGGAAGAUUGCUUGAGCCCAGGAGUUCAAGUCCAGUCUAAGCAGCACGGCAAGACUCCAUCUCUUAAAAAAAAAAAAAAAAAAAAAAUCUCCCAUAAAGCUUGCUCCUUUGCAGGAAAGGAUUUCUAAAAGGCAUUCUUUGGAAACUCCAACGUAAAGCAAAAUCUAUUAGACAUCUAGGAUAUGGUCUUGAAAUUAAUGUUAAGUGAGAACUGACAUAUCAAAGAUAUUCACAUAAAAAAACCAUCUAAG
rnacentral:lncRNA from 10 species